CCUCAUCAAGUAAACCGCCAGCAGUUUCUUCAGAUAAAUCGUCAUCCAAACCCAGUCUUAAAGGCAAAGCCAAAUGGGCAGACAUGGCGUCCUCAUCUUCGUCAACAUCAUCAUCUUCCCUUGUUUCAAGUAAAGAUAGCAAUGAUGAUAUUCUUCAAUCAAUAAUAGUAAAAAGUAAAACUGACAAAAAAGAAAAAGGAAAAUCAAAGUUAAAACAAAAAAGCAAAGUAAAAAGAAAAGAAAAGAAAAAGAAGGACACUUCGUCCUCAUCUGAUUAAAAG
rnacentral:lncRNA from 1 species